rnacentral:rRNA from 1 species
AUGUCUCCCAUUUUUUCCCGCUCACCUCUAACCCUGCUCGCUCUCCUCCUCGCCCUCCCACCCCUCGCUGCCUCCUCCUCCUCCUUCCCGCUUCCCACCAUCGCCAUCGCCGCCGCCAGCACCAACACCGCCUCCCCACACCACCUCGCCUGCGGCCUCGUGUCCAACGGCACAGGCUACCAGCUCUCCUGCGCCAGCGUCACCAACCGCUCCGCUAGCCCCCGCAAGUACGGGUAUGGCGGCGGCAGUACCACGCCCUUCUCCGCCCUCGUCGCCGGUGAUGGGUACCUCUGCUCCGUCGACCCGAUCUCCUCGCCGCCCGUGUCCAUGCGCUGGUGGGACUUGAACGACGGCGAGGAACCGUCCAAGAGGGUGUACAGGGGCGAGGCGCUGUCUGCGGUGGCCGGCGGCGGGGAGUACGUGUGCGGACUAGUGGAGAAGAGGAUAAAGUGCUGGAGGUGGGAAUGGGGGGCCGUGCCGGAAGAGGUGGGGUUCUCGGCGCUGGCGGUGGGCGGCGGGUUCGUCUGCGGGCUGGUGGCCGGGACAGGGGAGCUGAAGUGCUAUGGCAAUGGGGACGCGGUGGGGCGGGAGCCGAGGGGCAGGUACAUGUUGCUCGCCGCCGGUGAGAGGCACGCCUGCGCGGUGGACCACAGAGGCAUGCUGGGGUGCUGGGGAGAGGCGGCCGCUGUUGCGGCCGCGGCGCCGCCGAAGCUGAUUCGCGCUGUGUCCACGGUGGCGGUGGGCGACGCUCUCACGUGCGUGCUGUGGGGGAACUGGACGGUCUCCUGCUGGCCGGAGGAGGAUGCGGCUGUGCCGCCGGAGAUAUCGCAGGAGCAGUUCGUCGCUCUGGAAGCGAGGGGGAAGGUGGUGUGCGGGGUGCUCAUGUCCGACUACUCGCUGGUGUGCUGGGGCGGAGAUGUUGCCGGCGGGGUGAGGAAGGUGUUCGACAAGGUCCUGCCGGGGCCGUGCGCGCCGGCAAGGUCGUGCCCGUGCGGCGUCUGGUCAGGCUCCGCGAUGCUCUGUGACAGCGGUGGCGCGGCCAUCUGCUACCCCUGCGGCUACACUCCUCCCAUGAAUGCGCAGGCGCCUACGUCCAACCCGCGGGCGUCGACCUCUCACACGAGGAAGAAGCGGCGGCCGAGCGAUCUUGUGAUCGCAAUGAUAAGCUUUGGAGCUGGUUCAGGACUCGUGGUCCUCGUCGGCGCGCUCUUGGUCGCUUACUGCCUGCGCCGGCGCAGCCGCAGCCGCAGCAGCUGCUCCCAUGACUCCGGGCGCAUCCACGCCGAGCCGAUGACAACUCCGGUGCCGCGCGUGCCGCGGCGGCUCAGCAUGCUGCUCUCCAAGGGCCCGAACACGACGGUGGAGCAGUUCCCCCUGGCAGCGCUCCGGGCCGCCACGGACGUCUUCUCGCCGUCCCACCGCAUCGGCUCCGGCAGCUUCGGCGCCGUCUACCGCGCGUCCCUCCCCGACGGCCGCGAGGUCGCCAUCAAGCGCGCGGAGCGGCGUGACUCGGGCGCCUCAUCCUCCGCCGCCGCUGCGGCGGCGCGUCGCGUCAACCACGAGUCGGCCUUCGUCUCAGAGCUCUCGCUGCUCUCCCGCCUGAACCACAAGAACCUUGUCCGGCUGCUGGGAUUCUGCGCCGACGGCGGCGAGCACAUCCUGGUGUACGAGUUCAUGCACAACGGCACCCUCCACGACCACCUCCACAAGCGCCCCGCCCCGCUCUCGCCGCCGCUCGCCUCCUGGCCGUCCCGCCUCCGCCUCGCCCUCGGCGCGGCGCGCGGCAUCGAGUACCUGCACACCUACGCCGUGCCGCCCAUCAUCCACCGCGACAUCAAGUCGUCCAACAUCCUCCUCGACGCCUCCUGGUCCGCCAAGGUGUCCGACUUCGGCCUCUCGCUGCUCAAGAACCUGGGCACCGGAGACAAUGCCGGCGGCGAGGAGCCGUGCGUGACGGCCGGGACGGUGGGGUACAUGGACCCGGAGUACUACCGGCUGCAGCACCUGACGGACAAGAGCGACGUGUACAGCUUCGGGGUGCUGCUGCUGGAGCUGCUGUCCGGGUGCAAGGUGAUACAGAGGUACGAGGGGAGCGGCACGCCGAGGAACGUGGUGGACAUGGCCGUGCCGUACAUCGAGUCGGACCGCGUGCACCGGGUGCUCGACAUCCGACUUCCGCUGCCGACGCCGGGGGAGAUGGAGGCCGUCGCCUACGUCGGGUACCUGGCCGCGGACUGCGUCCGGCUGCCCGGGCGCGAGCGGCCCUCCAUGAGCGAGGUGGUCGGCGUGCUCGAGCGGGCCGUUGCGGCAUGCGAGGAGCACGAGGAUAGCCCGGACGGCGGCGAGGCGGCCCUGUCGCGGUCGUGCACCGAUGGGUCCACCACCAUGUGA